GCCAGGUCAGCGCUCCUCGGCUGAUCGGAAAACGCCUGGACGCGCGUUGCGCUGCCGCCUGAAAAGCGGAAGGUCGCCGGUUCGAUCCCGGCCCUGGCCA
rnacentral:tRNA from 1 species